rnacentral:rRNA from 1 species
GAUAAACGCUGGCGGCGUGCCUAAUACAUGCAAGUCGAGCGAACGGACGAGAAGCUUGCUUCUCUGAUGUUAGCGGCGGACGGGUGAGUAACACGUGGAUAACCUACCUAUAAGACUGGGAUAACUUCGGGAAACCGGAGCUAAUACCGGAUAAUAUUUUGAACCGCAUGGUUCAAAAGUGAAAGACGGUCUUGCUGUCACUUAUAGAUGGAUCCGCGCUGCAUUAGCUAGUUGGUAAGGUAACGGCUUACCAAGGCAACGAUGCAUAGCCGACCUGAGAGGGUGAUCGGCCACACUGGAACUGAGACACGGUCCAGACUCCUACGGGAGGCAGCAGUAGGGAAUCUUCCGCAAUGGGCGAAAGCCUGACGGAGCAACGCCGCGUGAGUGAUGAAGGUCUUCGGAUCGUAAAACUCUGUUAUUAGGGAAGAACAUAUGUGUAAGUAACUGUGCACAUCUUGACGGUACCUAAUCAGAAAGCCACGGCUAACUACGUGCCAGCAGCCGCGGUAAUACGUAGGUGGCAAGCGUUAUCCGGAAUUAUUGGGCGUAAAGCGCGCGUAGGCGGUUUUUUAAGUCUGAUGUGAAAGCCCACGGCUCAACCGUGGAGGGUCAUUGGAAACUGGAAAACUUGAGUGCAGAAGAGGAAAGUGGAAUUCCAUGUGUAGCGGUGAAAUGCGCAGAGAUAUGGAGGAACACCAGUGGCGAAGGCGACUUUCUGGUCUGUAACUGACGCUGAUGUGCGAAAGCGUGGGGAUCAAACAGGAUUAGAUACCCUGGUAGUCCACGCCGUAAACGAUGAGUGCUAAGUGUUAGGGGGUUUCCGCCCCUUAGUGCUGCAGCUAACGCAUUAAGCACUCCGCCUGGGGAGUACGACCGCAAGGUUGAAACUCAAAGGAAUUGACGGGGACCCGCACAAGCGGUGGAGCAUGUGGUUUAAUUCGAAGCAACGCGAAGAACCUUACCAAAUCUUGACAUCCUUUGACAACUCUAGAGAUAGAGCCUUCCCCUUCGGGGGACAAAGUGACAGGUGGUGCAUGGUUGUCGUCAGCUCGUGUCGUGAGAUGUUGGGUUAAGUCCCGCAACGAGCGCAACCCUUAAGCUUAGUUGCCAUCAUUAAGUUGGGCACUCUAAGUUGACUGCCGGUGACAAACCGGAGGAAGGUGGGGAUGACGUCAAAUCAUCAUGCCCCUUAUGAUUUGGGCUACACACGUGCUACAAUGGACAAUACAAAGGGCAGCGAAACCGCGAGGUCAAGCAAAUCCCAUAAAGUUGUCCUCAGUUCGGAUUGUAGUCUGCAACUCGACUACAUGAAGCUGGAAUCGCUAGUAAUCGUAGAUCAGCAUGCUACGGUGAAUACGUUCCCGGGUCU